rnacentral:rRNA from 1 species
GGGUUGUGAGGUUAAGCGACUAAGCGUACACGGUGGAUGCCCUGGCAGUCAGAGGCGAUGAAGGACGUGCUAAUCUGCGAAAAGCGUCGGUAAGGUGAUAUGAACCGUUAUAACCGGCGAUGUCCGAAUGGGGAAACCCAGUGCAAUUCGUUGCACUAUCGUUAACUGAAUACAUAGGUUAACGAGGCGAACCGGGGGAACUGAAACAUCUAAGUACCCCGAGGAAAAGAAAUCAACCGAGAUUCCCCCAGUAGCGGCGAGCGAACGGGGAGCAGCCCAGAGUCUGAAUCAGCUUGUGUGUUAGUGGAACGGUCUGGAAAGUCCGACGGUACAGGGUGAUAGUCCCGUACACCAAAAUGCACAGGUUGUGAACUCGAAGAGUAGGGCGGGACACGUGGUAUCCUGUCUGAAUAUGGGGGACCAUCCUCCAAGGCUAAAUACUCCUGACUGACCGAUAGUGAACCAGUACCGUGAGGGAAAGGCGAAAAGAACCCCGGCGAGGGGAGUGAAAAAGAACCUGAAACCGUGUACGUACAAGCAGUGGGAGCACCUUCGGGUGUGACUGCGUACCUUUUGUAUAAUGGGUCAGCGACUUAUAUUCUGUAGCAAGGUUAACCGUAUAGGGGAGCCGCAGGGAAACCGAGUCUUAACUGGGCGUUAAGUUGCAGGGUAUAGACCCGAAACCCGGUGAUCUAGCCAUGGGCAGGUUGAAGGUUGGGUAACACUAACUGGAGGACCGAACCGACUAAUGUUGAAAAAUUAGCGGAUGACUUGUGGCUGGGGGUGAAAGGCCAAUCAAACCGGGAGAUAGCUGGUUCUCCCCGAAAGCUAUUUAGGUAGCGCCUCGUGAACUCAUCUUCGGGGUAGAGCACUGUUUCGGCUAGGGGGUCAUCCCGACUUACCAACCCGAUGCAAACUACGAAUACCGAAGAAUGUUAUCACGGGAGACACACGGCGGGUGCUAACGUCCGUCGUGAAGAGGGAAACAACCCAGACCGCCAGCUAAGGUCCCAAAGUCAUGGUUAAGUGGGAAACGAUGUGGGAAGGCACAGACAGCCAGGAUGUUGGCUUAGAAGCAGCCAUCAUUUAAAGAAAGCGUAAUAGCUCACUGGUCGAGUCGGCCUGCGCGGAAGAUGUAACGGGGCUAAACCAUGCACCGAAGCUGCGGCAGCGACACUAUGUGUUGUUGGGUAGGGGAGCGUUCUGUAAGCCUGCGAAGGUGUGCUGUGAGGCAUGCUGGAGGUAUCAGAAGUGCGAAUGCUGACAUAAGUAACGAUAAAGCGGGUGAAAAGCCCGCUCGCCGGAAGACCAAGGGUUCCUGUCCAACGUUAAUCGGGGCAGGGUGAGUCGACCCCUAAGGCGAGGCCGAAAGGCGUAGUCGAUGGGAAACAGGUUAAUAUUCCUGUACUUGGUGUUACUGCGAAGGGGGGACGGAGAAGGCUAUGUUAGCCGGGCGACGGUUGUCCCGGUUUAAGCAUGUAGGCUGAUUGUCCAGGCAAAUCCGGAUAAUCAAGGCUGAGGUGUGAUGACGAGGCACUACGGUGCUGAAGUAACAAAUGCCCUGCUUCCAGGAAAAGCCUCUAAGCAUCAGGUAACAUUAAAUCGUACCCCAAACCGACACAGGUGGUCAGGUAGAGAAUACCAAGGCGCUUGAGAGAACUCGGGUGAAGGAACUAGGCAAAAUGGUGCCGUAACUUCGGGAGAAGGCACGCUGGUGUGUAGGUGAAGUCCCUGCGGAUGGAGCUGAGACCAGUCGAAGAUACCAGCUGGCUGCAACUGUUUAUUAAAAACACAGCACUGUGCAAACACGAAAGUGGACGUAUACGGUGUGACGCCUGCCCGGUGCCGGAAGGUUAAUUGAUGGGGUUAUCCGUAAGGAGAAGCUCUUGAUCGAAGCCCCGGUAAACGGCGGCCGUAACUAUAACGGUCCUAAGGUAGCGAAAUUCCUUGUCGGGUAAGUUCCGACCUGCACGAAUGGCGUAAUGAUGGCCAGGCUGUCUCCACCCGAGACUCAGUGAAAUUGAACUCGCUGUGAAGAUGCAGUGUACCCGCGGCAAGACGGAAAGACCCCGUGAACCUUUACUAUAGCUUGACACUGAACAUUGAGCCUUGAUGUGUAGGAUAGGUGGGAGGCUUUGAAGCGUGGACGCCAGUCUGCGUGGAGCCAACCUUGAAAUACCACCCUUUAAUGUUUGAUGUUCUAACGUUGGCCCCUGACCGGGGUUGCGGACAGUGUCUGGUGGGUAGUUUGACUGGGGCGGUCUCCUCCCAAAGCGUAACGGAGGAGCACGAAGGUUAGCUAAUCCUGGUCGGACAUCAGGAGGUUAGUGCAAUGGCAUAAGCUAGCUUGACUGCGAGCGUGACGGCGCGAGCAGGUGCGAAAGCAGGUCAUAGUGAUCCGGUGGUUCUGAAUGGAAGGGCCAUCGCUCAACGGAUAAAAGGUACUCCGGGGAUAACAGGCUGAUACCGCCCAAGAGUUCAUAUCGACGGCGGUGUUUGGCACCUCGAUGUCGGCUCAUCACAUCCUGGGGCUGAAGUAGGUCCCAAGGGUAUGGCUGUUCGCCAUUUAAAGUGGUACGCGAGCUGGGUUUAGAACGUCGUGAGACAGUUCGGUCCCUAUCUGCCGUGGGCGCUGGAGAAUUGAGGGGGGCUGCUCCUAGUACGAGAGGACCGGAGUGGACGCAUCACUGGUGUUCGGGUUGUCAUGCCAAUGGCACUGCCCGGUAGCUAAAUGCGGAAGAGAUAAGUGCUGAAAGCAUCUAAGCACGAAACUUGCCCCGAGAUGAGUUCUCCCUGAGACUUUAAGUCUCCUGAAGGAACGUUGAAGACGACGACGUUGAUAGGCCGGGUGUGUAAGCGCAGCGAUGCGUUGAGCUAACCGGUACUAAUGAACCGUGAGGCUUAACCUUACAACGCCGAAG